rnacentral:rRNA from 1 species
AAUCAACGCUGGCGGCGUGCCUCAGACAUGCAAGUCGAACGAUUAAGACUCUCUUCGGAGAGUGUAUAAAGUGGCGCACGGGUGAGUAACACGUAGGUAAUCUACCUUUGAGUGGGGAAUAACUUAGGGAAACUUAAGCUAAUACCGCAUAAUGCAGCGGCAUCUUCGGAUGACAGUUGUUAAAGGAGUAAUUCGCUUAAAGAGGAGCCUGCGGCAGAUUAGCUAGUUGGUAAGGUAAUGGCUUACCAAGGCUACGAUCUGUAACCGACCUGAGAGGGUGGUCGGUCACACUGACACUGAAUAACGGGUCAGACUCCUACGGGAGGCAGCAGUCGGGAAUUUUGGGCAAUGGGCGAAAGCCUGACCCAGCAACGCCGCGUGAAGGAUGAAGUCUUUCGGGAUGUAACUUCGUAAGAAUAGGAAGAAUAAAUGACGGUACUAUUUGUAAGGUCCGGCUAACUACGUG